GACGAACGCUGGCGGCGUGCUUAACACAUGCAAGUCGAACGGAAAGGCCCUGCUUUUGUGGGGUGCUCGAGUGGCGAACGGGUGAGUAACACGUGAGUAACCUGCCCUUGACUUUGGGAUAACUUCAGGAAACUGGGGCUAAUACCGGAUAGGAGCUCCUGCUGCAUGGUGGGGGUUGGAAAGUUUCGGCGGUUGGGGAUGGACUCGCGGCUUAUCAGCUUGUUGGCGGGGUAGUGGCUUACCAAGGCUUUGACGGGUAGCCGGCCUGAGAGGGUGACCGGCCACAUUGGGACUGAGAUACGGCCCAGACUCCUACGGGAGGCAGCAGUGGGGAAUAUUGCAAAAUGGGCGGAAGCCUGAUGCAGCAACGCCGCGUGCGGGAUGACGGCCUUCGGGUUGUAAACCGCUUUCGCCUGUGACGAAGCGUGAGUGACGGUAAUGGGUAAAGAAGCACCGGCUAACUACGUG
rnacentral:rRNA from 1 species